CCAGACUUUCUACUGCCCCCUCCAGGAUGUCCAGACCUUCAUGACGAGACGUCUCCAGGCUGUACUCGGCUGACAGGGUUUGAAAACCAGUUUAAUUUGUUUGAUGGUGUGAACCGAUAAGCUUAUCGCUAUGAAGACAGAGGAAAUUCGGAGACAUCCAUAUUAUCCAAGAAAGUGUACAAGAAAGCCAAUGCCUGUAUUAUUGCCAGAUUUUGAAUAAAUGAAAUUCCUGGGUGACACGUGCAUAAAAUUGAAAAUUAAGACCAAGUCCAAGAGAUCUUAAAAAACUGGGAGGAAAGAUGUACAUACUAAAAAGCAAUAUACCCAAAAUACUUAAUAAUAUUUUAUAAGAUUAUCAAUUAAUUAUUAAUACUAAUUUCAAAGAAAUUCUUUCAGCCUUAAAAAAAAAAAGUAGUUGUUUAAACACUCGACUGCUCCAUUACACCUAAUAGUGAGGGGUUUUAAACGACCUCGCACUGGUUCCAAAUAAUUGCGAUGUCCCGGGGUUGCCAACUCCUAGUUCCAAAAUUUCAGUUUCCCUGCAUCAUGAUGUAUAAACCGAUACUGUCCGAGACAUUUGUCUGUACAAGCAAGAAUUUACCCAUGCUUUCUGACCAAUCAGAUUUGCUGUGGUGUAAAAUUCUAUGAAAUCUCAAAAUAAUAAUUUUAUUUCGUUUUAAUGAUAUGAGAAGAUUGACAGAUAUGUUAGCUGUCCCAUGAGCACGCUUUUAUCGUAAAUGGUGUUAUAAUCACAUGAUGGCCAUGCCCCCUUUUUCUGUUGACCUUGUGAUUGCUUCCUCCAAACCCACAACAAAAUAAACAGGAAAACUACAUCACUGGUAGCAUCGAGUCAUACGCUGCUUAUGCUGACGUUUCAGUUUUGUCUCAUGUCUGGUGUGAAUAUUUCAGACUUGUGUCUGAGGACUGAAUUGUCACCCGACGUUUUCAGAAAGCAGUCCGUAGAUAAACGUUUUUUCUACACAGCAGAAGGUUGAUUAUCUCUACAGGCAGACGAGCCGAGUGGUUAAUUCAAAGCGUUUCUCCGACCGACUCGAGCCCUUUAAGGUUAAUUCAAAGCUGCUCUAAUCAAUGCUUCACGCUUUCUCAUUGGCACGCGCACACACACACACACACAGGUUCUUUUGCUGUCUUUAUCGGCUCCAACGGUGAGUGAAGACGACCUCAGUGAAGGUCGAAAAGAUGCUGCAGUGUUCUGAGGCAAACAUUGCUGACCAGGCCGAGCCUGCUGUUCACUCGAAUGUAGGGGGAAAAACAAAAAGGGGAUGACGAGGCUCGUAGUACCAGAACACCUAUGCCAGGAUUUUGCGUGUUUAUUUUUGUGCAUUUUAGCACAUUUCGCUUUCUGCUUCAGCUCUCUGUGCCUUACGCUGAAAUUAAAGAAUCAACAGUGAAGCAAUGUAACUUUCCAGGUGGACAUUUCCUCUCAGGAUUCUAGGCUGCUACAACAAUCUCAGUAUUGUCAGACUCUAUAAUACACAAAAAAAUAAAAAGACAAUCAGUGUUUGCCUCGUUAAUAUCAUUCUAUUAACAGAUUGGUGUGUUAAGAGUGACAAAGUCUUUUCACAGUCUUGUGAGUCUUGUGACAAAAAUGAUAACAGGACAUUACAGCUGUAAUAAAUUAUAGUACUUUGGAUACAUUUAAAGGCAAAUACUUUUGUACUUUUACUCAAGUGAAAGUUUAAAGAUAGCAUUUUUACUAGAGUAAUAUUUUAACUAGUGUAAAUGUCUACUUUUGCUCAAGUAAAUGGUUUGUGUACUUUGCCCACCACUGGGUAUAAUAAUUGUACGUGUGUUUAAAACAGUGUGUGUGAAUCUAAGACACUGGAGCAGUCCAAGAUCCUCUACAAUGUACUACAAUGAAGACUUAGUUCUGUUCUGAACAAUUUGGAAGCAGUGUUAUACAAACGAGGGUGCCAAUAAACCUGCAAAUGACUGUAAAAAAAAAAAAAA